GAUGAAGAACGCAGCGAAAUGCGAUAAGUAGUGUGAAUUGCAGAAUUCAGUGAAUCAUCGAAUCUUUGAACGCACAUUGCGCCCCUUGGUAUUCCAUGGGGCAUGCCUGUUCGAGCGUCAUUUGUACCUUCAAGCUUUGCUUGGUGUUGGGUGUUUGUCCCUCGGGACUCGCCUUAAAGUCAUUGGCAGCCAGUGUUUUGGUUUUGAAGCGCAGCACAAGUCGCGAUUCAAGGCUAUCCGCCCGCUUCCACAAGCCUUUUUCACUUUUGACCUCGGAUCAGGUAGGGAUACCCGCUGAACUUAAGCAUACCAAUAAGCGGAGGA
rnacentral:misc_RNA from 1 species